AAUGAACGCUGGCGGCGCGCCUUAUCCAUGCAAGUCGAGCGGCAGGCAGCAAUGCCGAGAGCGGCGGAGUGGUGAGUAACCCGUGGAUAACGUACCCCGAUGCCUGGGACAGCUUGUAGAAAUACAGCGUAAUACCGGAUAGAUCACUGUUUACGUGUGUUAGACAGCGGGAAAAUAGUUUCGGCUCCGCCACGGGAUCGGUCUGCGGCCCAUCCGCUCGACGGCGGGGUAAAGGCACGCUGAGGGAAGGACGGAGAUCCGGUCUGAAAGCGCGAACGGACACAUUGGCACUGAGAGACGGCUCAAACUCCGACGGGAGGCAGCAGGUAAGAAUAUUCCGCAAUGGGGGGAACCCUGACGGAGCGACGCCGCGUGAGCGAAGAAGGCCUGAGGAUUGUAAAAUUCUUUUAUGCCCGAAGAAUAAUUGUCGGAGUAAAUGCCAGGACGGUGACGGUAGGGAACAAAUAAGCACCGGCUAAUUACGUG
rnacentral:rRNA from 1 species